GUAUCGGUGGUUCAGUAGAAUGCUCGCCUGCCACGCGGGCGGCCCGGGUUCGAUUCCCGGCCGAUGCA
rnacentral:tRNA from 1 species